GGACAGGAGCAGGGCUCAAGAGUUCUUGAGCCAGAGCCUGCCAUACCUGAGGGAUGCUCAGGCCAGCUUGCGAGAGGCGGCCGUGAGGUUCAUCGGGCUGGCUGCGCGGCCCCUGAGGGACCGAAGGGAGGAGGAGAAGCUGGCUGAGAUCUGCAGUGCCCUUCGGCCCUUGGAGACGGACAGUAAACCCUUCGUCCGCUCCCUCGCUGCUCAGACCAUUGUCAUCCUGAGCAGUCCAAGGGAG